rnacentral:rRNA from 1 species
CCUACGGGAGGCAGCAGUGGGGAAUAUUGGACAAUGGGGGGAACCCUGAUCCAGCCCUGCCGCGUGUGUGAAGAAGGCCCUCGGGUUGUAAAGCACUUUCAGUGAGGAAGAACGCCUGGUGGUUAAUACCCAUCAGGAAAGACAUCACUCACAGAAGAAGCACCGGCUAACUCCGUGCCAGCAGCCGCGGUAAUACGGAGGGUGCGAGCGUUAAUCGGAAUUACUGGGCGUAAAGCGCGCGUAGGUGGCUUGAUAAGCCGGUUGUGAAAGCCCCGGGCUCAACCUGGGAACGGCAUCCGGAACUGUCAAGCUAGAGUGCAGGAGAGGAAGGUAGAAUUCCCGGUGUAGCGGUGAAAUGCGUAGAGAUCGGGAGGAAUACCAGUGGCGAAGGCGGCCUUCUGGACUGACACUGACACUGAGGUGCGAAAGCGUGGGUAGCAAACAGGAUUAGAUACCCUUGUAGUC